UCGUGAAUCUGAAGAGGAGUAAAACAUGAUUGAGGAUGCAAGGAAGACAAAUUUGUUUUAAAGAAAAAGAUUCUUAACAUGGUAUUUAUGUCUGUUUCAAUUUUGAUUCUUUGCUCAUCUCUAAAUCACUUUGUGUUUGAUUGAUUUUGACUCUGGGUUGUGAAUCUGUCUUGAGGGUUUUUGACGAAUCUGUUUUGCUUAAUCUUGGUUUUGUUGACGAAGGAGUCAGAAAAAGAUUGGGUG
rnacentral:lncRNA from 1 species